rnacentral:piRNA from 1 species
UGGCUGCCCAGUUGGUCAAGGUCCUAGCUA